GCGUUGUUCGGCUAGUGGGAAAGUGAGCAGGGCUGUUCCCAGACCUGACUGGCUGGCGUGGGAAGCACCGCAGGGUUAAGCUCGCCUCUGGAUGUGGGCCGUCCGCACUGCACCUUUUCAGAAACGCAGCCGCCCUGGAUCUACACAGCCGCAGUGACUCCAUUCCGAGUGCAAAUGUGGAUCGCUGAAGACAGUUACUGGAAGCGCCAUUUGCAGGGCCACACCCACAGCACAUUAAAGUUCCAGG